rnacentral:rRNA from 1 species
ACGGAAGGCAGCAGUGAGGAAUAUUGGUCAAUGGGCGGAAGCCUGAACCAGCCAAGUCGCGUGAAGGAUGAAGGUAUUAUGUAUUGUAAACUUCUUUAGAUGCAGAGAAAUAAGCCCCUCGCGAGGGGUGAUGCUAGUAUGCAUAGAAUAAGGAUCGGCUAACUCCGUGCCAGCAGCCGCGGUAAUACGGAGGAUCCGAGCGUUAUCCGGAUUUAUUGGGUUUAAAGGGUGCGCAGGCGGCUUUUUAAGUCAGCGGUCAAAUCGUGAGGCUCAACCUCAUCCCGCCGUUGAUACUGGAAGGCUUGAUUGCGGUCGAGGUAGGCGGAAUUCGUCGUGUAGCGGUGAAAUGCAUAGAUAUGACGAAGAACACCGAUUGCGUAGGCAGCUUACCAGGCCGUAAAUGACGCUCAUGCACGAAAGUGCGGGGAUCGAACAGGAUUAGAUACCCUGGUA